GGGCCCGCACAAGCGGUGGAGCAUGUGGUUUAAUUCGAUGCAACGCGAAGAACCUUACCAGGACUUGACAUAGAGAGAAGCCUGUUGAAAAACGGGUAUGCUACGGCCUCUCAUACAGGUGGUGCAUGGCUGUCGUCAGCUCGUGUCGUGAGAUGUUGGGUUAAGUCCCGCAACGAGCGCAACCCUUGUUUCUAGUUGAUUACUCUAGAAAGACUGCCGAUUAUAAAUCGGAGGAAGGUGAGGACGACGUCAAGUCAUCAUGCCCCUUACGUCCUGGGCUACACACGUGCUACAAUGGAUAUGACAAUUAGCUGCAAGCUCGUGAGGGUUAGCCAAUCUGUAAACAUAUCCCUAGUUCGGAUUGUAGGCUGCAACUCGCCUACAUGAAGGUGGAAUCGCUAGUAAUCG
rnacentral:rRNA from 1 species